rnacentral:lncRNA from 1 species
CGAUUUGAUUGCCUCAACCUCCCAAAGUGCUGGGAUUACACGCCUGAGCCACUGCUGCCUGCCAAAAUAUUUUUUCUCUUAGUAAUUGUCAGUUAAAUUCAAACAAAUUUGUGGAAACUUAAUCCUAUUGAAUUAAAAGAUAACUUCUACAAUUGAAGACCCCAGCAUUUUUGGCCACGUAGAAGAAAUGCUGAAGCAAGCAUAAUGAGUUUGUCUUAUUCCUAUUUUGAGUUGAUUUAAUUUCUUAAUUGAAAUUAAAUUAUUUGAGUUGUUUCUCAGAAAUAAAUAUUUCAGUAGAAAUUACUUGCAAAAUGAAAUGUGAAUUGUAAAACUUGGCCUAAACAAAUCUAAUGAAAACAUGUGAAAGACCUGUGCCUUUUUUUUGGUUUGACCCUGUUAGCAUUGUUAUUAGUUAUCUAUAACAUGGCUUAUUGAAUGUCAUCUACUGCUUUAGGAAAAACGUAUCUAGUGUAUUAUUUUUAAAAUUGUACCUCCCAAGAAGAACACUUUAAUUGAAAGCAACACUAAUAUAGAGCCACUUCCUGAAACCAAGAAUCUGUAGUUUUGAUCCAAAAUCUAAAACUUAAAGUCAGAAAAUAAUUAAAAUUUUUCUUGUAGAAAUUUUAGAUAUUUUCUAGUAUUCUUUAGAUGCUCACAUUGUUUUAAAUAAAAUAGAUGAAAUGGGAAGUUUAGGUAAUCAUCUAGACAGAUGAAAUUAUUAUCUAGGUAGGAGGGCUUUUCUAUACAUU